rnacentral:rRNA from 1 species
GAAUCUUGCGCAAUGGCCGAGAGGCUGACGCAGCGACGCCGCGUGCGGGAGGAAGGUCUUCGGAUCGUAAACCGCUGUCAGGAGGGACGAAAUGCCAGGGGAGGCAAUGCCCGUGGUUUGACGGUACCUCCAGAGGAAGCACCGGCUAACUCCGUGCCAGCAGCCGCGGUAAUACGGAGGGUGCGAGCGUUGUUCGGAAUUAUUGGGCGUAAAGCGCGCGCAGGCGGCCUGGGAAGUCCCAGGGUGAAAUGCCGGGGCUCAACUCCGAGCAUGCCCAGGAUACUCUCAGGCUGGAGACACGUAGAGGCAAGCGGAAUUCCGGGUGUAGCGGUGGAAUGCGUAGAGAUCCGGAAGAACACCGGAGGCGAAGGCGGCUUGCUGGGCGUGAUCUGACGCUGAGGCGCGAAGGCGUGGGGAGCGAACAG